UACGGGAGGCAGCAGUGGGGAAUAUUGCACAAUGGGCGCAAGCCUGAUGCAGCCAUGCCGCGUGUAUGAAAAAGGCCUUCGGGUUGUAAAGUACUUUCAGUCGUGAGGAAGGUGUUAAGGUUAAUAACCUUAGCAAUUGACGUUAGCGACAGAAGAAGCACCGGCUAACUCCGUGCCAGCAGCCGCGGUAAUACGGAGGGUGCGAGCGUUAAUCGGAAUUACUGGGCGUAAAGGGCACGCAGGCGGUUAAUUAAGUUGGAUGUGAAAUCCCCGGGCUUAACCUGGGAAUGGCAUUCAAGACUGGUUAGCUAGAGUCUUGUAGAGGGGGGUUAGAAUUCCAUGUGUAGCGGUGAAAUGCGUAGAGAUGUGGAGGAAUACCGGUGGCGAAGGCGGCCCCUGGACAAAGACUGACGCUCAUGUGCGAAAGCGUGGGGAGCAAACAGGGAUUAGAUACCCGU
rnacentral:rRNA from 1 species